GUAUAUGUCCUUAGACUUCCCUAUUUGAAUGGAAGUAGAUUCAACAUCAGUGAUGACACAAUUAAUGGUACCUGUAUGUGUGCGUGUGUGUGUGCGCGUCAUAUGUGAGUAACCAUGUACAUAGGUGUAUAUAUGUGGGUAAAGUUUUAAUAAUAAAGACAGAGAUCAGCGGGUCCAAAGAACUAAUAGUGUCAUUAAAAUCUUGACGGUGUUAAGUGAUCAAAUUAGAGCCAUCCUAGUAUAUAUAUGAAUCUCUAUGUGAUUCAUCGAUAUUGAUUGAUCUCUUUUUUCGUAUAUCUCAUUGCAGGGUGAGGGGUUCAAUAAUUAUGGUGGUAUAUAUGUCCAGAGGAAUCCACGGCUGAAAGUCAAGGUGGUGGAUGGGAGUAGCUUGGCUGUGGCCGUCAUCCUUAACAGCAUUCCGAAAGGGACAACCCAGGUUCUCCUUACAGGCAACCUCACAAAGGUUGCUUAUGCCCUUGCCUUUUCUUUGUGCCAAAGAGAUAUCCAGGUAGUUACAUUACAGCAGGCUGAGUAUUUGAAGCUCACCAAAUCAUUAAAUGGUACAGAGGGUAAGGUGGUUCAUGACAGAAGCUAUGCUCAAAAGAUUUGGUUGGUGGGAGAUGGGUUGAGUAAAAAAGAA